AUUGAACGCUGGCGGCAGGCCUAACACAUGCAAGUCGAGCGGAUGAAGGGAGCUUGCUCCUGGAUUCAGCGGCGGACGGGUGAGUAAUGCCUAGGAAUCUGCCUGGUAGUGGGGGAUAACGUCCGGAAACGGGCGCUAAUACCGCAUACGUCCUGAGGGAGAAAGUGGGGGAUCUUCGGACCUCACGCUAUCAGAUGAGCCUAGGUCGGAUUAGCUAGUUGGUGGGGUAAAGGCCUACCAAGGCGACGAUCCGUAACUGGUCUGAGAGGAUGAUCAGUCACACUGGAACUGAGACACGGUCCAGGCUCCUACGGGAGGCAGCAGUGGGGAAUAUUGGACAAUGGGCGAAAGCCUGAUCCAGCCAUGCCGCGUGUGUGGAGAAGGUCUUCGGAUUGUAAAGCACUUUAAGUUGGGAGGAAGGGCAGUAAGUUAAUACCUUGCUGUUUUGACGUUACCAACAGAAUAAGCACCGGCUAACUUCGUG
rnacentral:rRNA from 1 species